rnacentral:rRNA from 1 species
CAGCAGCCGCGGUAAUACGUAGGGUGCAAGCGUUAAUCGGAAUUACUGGGCGUAAAGCGUGCGCAGGCGGUUAUAUAAGACAGAUGUGAAAUCCCCGGGCUCAACCUGGGAACUGCAUUUGUGACUGUAUAGCUAGAGUACGGCAGAGGGGGAUGGAAUUCCGCGUGUAGCAGUGAAAUGCGUAGAUAUGCGGAGGAACACCGAUGGCGAAGGCAAUCCCCUGGACCUGUACUGACGCUCAUGCACGAAAGCGUGGGGAGCAAACAGGAUUAGAUACCCGAGUAGUCCCUGUCUCUUAUAC